rnacentral:rRNA from 1 species
UGGGGAAUUUUGGACAAUGGGCGCAAGCCUGAUCCAGCAAUGCCGCGUGCAGGAUGAAGGCCUUCGGGUUGUAAACUGCUUUUGUACGGAGCGAAAAGGUCUGCCCUAAUACGUUGGGCUCAUGACGGUACCGUAAGAAUAAGCACCUGCUAACUACGUGCCAGCAGCCGCGGUAAUACGUGGGGUGCGAGCGUUAAUCGGAAUUACUGGGCGUAAAGCGUGCGCAGGCGGUUAUAUAAGUCAGAUGUGAAAUCCCGGGGCUCAACCUGGGACCUGCAUUUGUGACUGUAUAGCUAGAGUACGGUAGAGGUGAGUGGAAUUCCGAGUGUAGCAGUGAAAUUCGUAGAUAUGCGGAGGAACACCGGUGGCGAAGGCGAUCCACUGGACCUGUACUGACGCUGAUGCACGAAAGCGUGGGGAGCAAACA